rnacentral:lncRNA from 1 species
CAAAAAUGUGAAAUGACCGAACAAUUUUGAGUUUAAACGGUGAAGAAAUGAAGGAACUGAGAGGCGUGAUCGCGGCGGGAGAAGAAACUCGAAGANGGAGCGUCUGCGCGAAGAAGAUGAUACUGUUCAGAAAUUUUAUUUUUUAACUGUGAUAGGGGAAUCUACCGCGGUUAAGUACUUAACCGCGGUAUAUUGUGGUUAUAUGCCGCGGUUUCACAGCAAACCGCGGCCUAUAGUCAUUAAAAAAAUAACCUAAAUGGCAUUUUUGAAAAUUAUUAUGGCACUAUAUACCGCG